rnacentral:lncRNA from 1 species
AUGAUGAUUCUGAGGCCACCCUAUCCCAGCCAUAUUAUUCACAUAUCGAGUCCCAACAGCAACAGUAUAGGGAUGAGCACGACAGUGCAGGUGAGCAUGAAGGAUGGACAAUCUUCGGGGAGUUUAGAUUGGGAACACAACAAAACACUAACACUCAGGGAUUUGGGAAUAGUCAGACGCCUGCUAAUAUUGAUGAUUCGUUUUUAGAUCGAAUCAAUGAAUUGUUAAACGAAUUCAAUCAAUGGCACCAGCGUGACCAAGAAGAGCAAUAAUGUCGUCUAUCAUUUUAUUUUUAGAUCUUAUGUUACUAAUUUUAUGCUUUAUUGUAGUCCAUGUAUGUUGGUAUACUUAUUCCAUGAUAAUUCUAUGUUUAUCCUUUUGUGUGAUGUAAAUUAAAUGCUGAAUGGCGGUUCAUGCAGGGAAAGAACAUAUCAAUAUUCGCAUAUUCAUUCAAAAACAUGAAAAUUCUUAAUGGAGUACUCUCAUUUCUUAUUGAAUUCCUAAAAAACAAUAUUUAUAAUGAAUUUUAAUAUUUUUUUCGGACUUUUUUUUAAGCUUUAUUCUGACCGA